GACAAAGACAGCUUCCUCCCCGACUAUAUCAGUGGGGAUUUUGAUUCCAUUACUGCCGAGGUCAAAGCCUUCUAUGCAGACAAGGGGUGCAAGCUGAUAGAAACAGCUGACCAGGAUCUAACAGACUUCACCAAGUGUCUCGCAAUCAUGGUGGAGGAAAUUCAGAGACGACAGUU